AUGGAUAAAGAUGAAAUUGAACAUAUGAGUGACAAAGAAAUUCAAAAUUUUUUCAACGAAAUAGAAGAUUUAGUGAAUGAAAGACAAGACGAUAAAGAUGAUGGUGAUGGUGGUGAUGGUGAUGUUUAUAAUGUAGGAGUAGAAAAACAGCUUAGCAAAAAAGGUGAUGAAUUAAUUGAAAAAAAAAAAAACGACAAUAAAUUGUCAGUACAAUCUAAAAUCCAUUUAUUCCUUGAAGAAAUAAAUUUUAUUAAAGAAGUUCUUGAUACAUAUGAAAAAGAAAAUAAACAUAAUAAAAAUAAUAAUGACAAAUGUAAAAAUAAUGAAAUGACAGAAAAAUCAGAUGACAUUUUAAAGGAUGUAAUUUACUUAGAAUUAGGUCUAAAAGAAUCAGAAAGUACAAGCGAUGUUAACAAAUUACUAUUAAAAAUAAGUGAGAAUUUAUGCAGUAUAAAGAAUAAGGAUUUUAUAAUAGCUACCAAAAAAUCGCUAGAUAUCAGAAUAGAAGAUUUUCGAAGAAAUGAAAUAAGUGAAUCAUACUUUUUAAAAAAAAUAAACGAAAUAUAUACGAACACAUUGAAUGAAUUAGAUAUAGAAAAAAAUGCAGACGAUAAGAAGUCUAACGAAUAUGUAGUAGAUAAAUCGAAAAGUACAUUGUUGGAUGAUUUAUCGCAGAAUAUGUUAAAUGUGCCAUUACCAGUAAAGGACACAGUGGAUACAAAUUAUAAUGAACCACCUGUUUAUUUAAUAUCCAAAAAUAUAAGUACGGAAGGAGAAAGUAAAAGAAGUGAUAAAUACCCAGAGAAAAAAAAAAAAAAAAAAAAUAGGAUGGAGCCAAAACUAGAGUCGUCUAACUUCCUUCAUAAAAAAAAGUUGAAGUUAGUAGAACGAUGGAAAAAAGUUGCCGCAGAAACGAAUUUAGUUGAAGAUUCUGAUUAAAAAUGUCAAAUUUAUAUUAUAAAAUGUGUUUAGAGUAUUACAUCACAAAUUUUUUUAGUAUUAUUUGAUGUUGUAUAUGGGAGUAACCGUUUGUUCAACAUAUUUGCGCAGUUUUUUAUACAUAUACAUGCACGUACAUGUAUACAUAUAAUAUAUAUAUAUAUAGUAAACAAAAUUGCAACAUGAAGUUGUUUAAAUGUUAUAAACUUAUUUAUAUAUAUAUAUAUAUAUAUAUUUAUGCUUAUAUUUAUAACAGAACUUCGUAUUUAUUUUAUUUGAAAUAAUAUGUAUCUCAGUUUACACAAUUUUCUUAAAAAAAAAAAUAUAUAUAUAUAUAAUAUAUAUAUAUAUAUUUUUUUUCUAUUUUAAAGAUAUAACAUUUCGUAUACAUUUUUUUGUAAAUAGUUUAUUGUCACAUUUUUAAUUUUUUUUUUUUUUUUUUUUUUUUGUAUAUAUGUGUAUUUUUUUUUUUUUUUUUUUCAUUCUUUUUUUAUUUUAAGCUAUGAAAAUUUGACAUAAAUACAUGUGCUUAUUACUUAUUAACAUAUAUGUAAUUUAUUUUCUUGUUUUUACAUUAUUUCAUAUACAUAUGUGUUUUUUUAUUUUUUUAUAACAUUAUCAAGCAUAAAACUUUAUUCAAGCACAAGUGUCAACUAUGGAUAUAUGUAAUAUGUUUGGCCUCCAACUGUUUUAUAAAUGAUUUAUUACAUAUUACCCUCAUUAAUUCGUUAAUUAUUAUUAUAAUUAUUAUUAUAA
ensembl:lncRNA